UGGUGCAGGUCAAGCAAAAUAGAAGUACCCCAAACCGAUAUGGCAAGAGGGGAAGCUUUGUUGUUUUCCAUAUCACCUCUUGUGCCAAUAGAAGACCUGGGCAAUUCAGCCCCAGAGGUGUUUUCCAUAAGUGGAAAAGUUACAAAACCAAAUCAUGUGUAGAGGUGAAAAUCUUCCCCUGCGCGAGCUCACCGUGAUCAGUCCUAGGGGAGAAAAAAUACAACUGGCGAUGUGGAGGGAGUGCGCCCUUGUAAACAUCGGAAUCAACCAGCACUACAGCUGAAAUGCGUUGGCCUGAAGUGAUUGAGGCAAUAAAACAGCAGCAGGGUGAGGAAGUCAACUUUGAGGAGCUGGACUGGGCAGCAAAGACUGACAUCUUAAGAAGCAAUCCAGUCACAACGAUGCCCAUGUUUGACAAACGUGUGGAGGCUUUAUUCAGAGAUCUGCUCUUGUCUCCUGCUGAACCUCUUGGCAGAAUUGUUGACUGGUUUUACAGUGUAGCAAUCCACGUCUGGACUGAGGUAACCUGACCUACAUGUGAACUUAACUCCCUCCUUUGAAGAGCCCCUACGUCCCUUUCAGUCCCCAGAGAUAAGGGACCCUGAAUCUUUUUCCACAACAGGAGACUGGCUUCUAUCACCACAGGCACCAAUUGACGCCAACAUCUCAAAUGUCCAUAUCAAAGAACCAUGAGCCCACUUUGUUGAUCUACCUUUAAAUCCCUCAGGAUUCUACCUCUGCUUAUCAUGCCAAAAGGAGAGGCUGUCACAUUUAUCACCAAGAAGCUGUCUCUCCCAGAACUGGCACCACCAGCCACAAAAUGUGGAAUGUGCUCAUAAAAGAGAACGAGAGACUUCAUUUGGACAGAAGUUCUGGUUCAGACGCACCAGAGCUUUCAACUUCCAUUAAACUGAUGUCAUUGUAUUCUGUGGACAAAAUGUUUUCAUUUGAUAUUAGAUUGGUUUCUGUGUGAUGUUCAAUGCCUGAUCUACAGAUUUGCCAGGAAAUUCCUAAAGUUACAAAGGGACUUCAACUCAUCACCCUGCUUUCCUUUGUGUGUAGACACAAAGUUGAAAUAGAGAGACUCACCUUCUUUACUUCUUUUAAUCUGUGCAACAUACACAUGGACUAUUUCCACCAGCUACAAUUCGGUAUCCUCAUUAUUGUAUCACAUUUUUAAGUGUUACAAUUGUUUAAUUAGUAAUGUCCAGAUUAGGUCAUUUAUAAUUAGAUUUUGCUUGCAUUUAUUAUUCGUGUAUGUUUUAGUGUUUACUGGGUGUUGCAUAAGACAAGACCAGGCAUCAUGAAUAACAUUUCAUUUGUUACAGCGUUAUAAGGGACCAUAUAUAAGACCUUAAGAUUCUUUGCAUUUAAUGUUGCUGGUUAACCAUUCUGACUUCUCUGCUCAUUUGAGUGUCAAAGUGAUCAUUACAUGUUUAUUGUGUUAUGGUGUGAUGGAACUUUGAGCUUGAUGAAAAGAGGAAACCUUAGUUAUCCCAGAUUUAGGAGCGAUCCAAAUCAAAUAGUUUGAUUCCUGAUCUGAAGAGGUGGAACUCUUCACCACUGGUUGAAGUCAUUUCUCCGCCCUGCAGUGACCACUGCCCCAGGGGUAUUUAAACCAGGGACACCCUAGUGGAAACGGACUUCCCUCUAUCUUCAAACUUCUUUCACUUUUUUUUUUUGCAUCGCAUUACUUUUCUUUAAUUUUCCUUUGUUCUUAAAUUAAGUUAAACUUAGAAACACGAACGAACAACGAUUUUUGUAACGUUAGAAAGUCAUCAAGAAACUCUGCGAAACUGAAACUAUCACAACCAGUCCUUAAUUGACUCGCUAUUUUUGAUUGAACCAAUUAAAUUAGAUUCCAGCCCGUUUGCUUUUGGGCCAGUUUAAGUAGCGCUGACGCUUGGAAACACCUUGGAAAGUCCAGCCUGGCUGACUGUUACUUUGCUGAACCCGAGCCGUCAUCAUCAAUCUCGGGCGACGAUUCCUGGCCCAGAGGCCGUGGCACCUGGACCAGAGAGGGCACGCCUGCUCAACUAACUGGUAACGGGAGACGCUGCACAGCGGCUACAGCUCCAAACUAAGGCAAGACGAACAUCUCUAAUCCUCUGAGAAUUCUGGUGUUUCUCAAAGCCCUAAAAUUGAACAUUCCAAAUUGAUUAGUUAUCCUCAGAUUUGAAUUAGUUAGAGACAAAUAUUCUUUUCUCUUGAUCUGUCACGUCUACGGGUCACUUCCUGUUUUAUUGUAUUGCAUUUCCGGUUUCCUGCCACUCAUCAUUAGUUUCAGCCUUACUUCCGUCCCUCAUUAGACUCACCUGCUCCGCAUCAGUAAUCGCCCUCAGUAUUCUUAAGCACCACUAGCCCCAGAACACUUUGCCAGAUCGUUGAACGCCAGACUUCACUUUCCAGCAUUUAGUUACUCUGUUCGUGUGCUUUGACCCUGCUCUGUUUCUGACUCCUGAUUCUCGCCGACUCCCUAAUCUGUACUACUGCUUGGACUGCUCUGGAAUAACGAACCUGACCGCCCGACUACGAGACUGCCUACUCCCUCACGGUACUGUAAACUGCGAUCUUCUGUUACUGAACCUCUGCCUGCCCCUGGAUCCGAACCAGCCUGCCCCACCGGUACCGAAGCCCCGUGAUUGACUGUGCAUGACCCGGACUGCCUGUGAUUCUGAAUAAACUGUUUAUCCCUACGAUCUGCCUGUGUGGUCUCUGUGCUGUGCAUGUGGGUCCGAGCUCUGCCAAAACCUGACAUGAUCAAAGCCAUCACACACUCAGGUCUUGACCAUUCUGGGUCACUGGGUUUUCACUCAUUGAUUCAUUCACUGUUCAUCAUCUCAUUCUGAUCGUUCUCUCAUUUUCUAUUCUGUUUAUUUGAGUAUUUCCAUAUUAUGUUAUUCAUAUAUCCAGUAGUGUUAUAUUAAUAAAACGUUAAAGGAAUCUGGUUUUGUGUGCAUUGUUCUUCAGAUUUAAACAGAGGUCACUGAACCGUGACAAGAAUUCACGGCAUAAGAGACUGAUUUGGUUUUAUCACAAGAAAGUGGUUAUUGGUGUUCAUGAGUGGUAACUCAUUGAAUUGAUAUCUGGCAUUGACUAGAUUGACACAAGCGUGGUUUCAGCUUUAAAACAAACCUGUUGCCCCAACUUCGAGGUAUAUUAAUGUUUCUACACAGAAUAAUGUUUCUACAUUAAUAUCAAACUAUUAAUAAUUUGAAAAGUAAUUUUUCGAGAAAUUACGUGGGAGAGCUCAUCUGCUACCGCAACGAGGCCAAACGCUGAUUAAGCUGCUGACGUCAAAAAAGUUGACUACGUCCAAAAGUUGACUACGGCAAAACAAUGAAAACGAUGAAAACGUUGACAAAGAUUAAAACGAUGACAAAAGAUGGCGAUUAAAAAGACGAUGAUUAAAAAGAUGACCAAGGUCAUACUAUGACAAUAUUAAAGAGAUGACAAUGAUUCAAAAGUUGACCAAGGUAAAAAGAUGUUGACCAGAGUGCAUUGUU